CACCAAAGGCAGCCGGCAUGAGAGCCUGCUGCUAUUGGACGCCUUGCCCCUAAGGACGGAGCCAGGAGACGAGAAGGGCCCAGAUCAACUAUUGUCCAAAGAUAAUGAAAGAACUGGCAUAUGGGAUAACUGAAGCAUUAUUAACAAUCUUCGGACAAUUGUGAGCAGGAGGAAUCCCACCACACUGGAAAUACCAGCAGCAGCAGCAUGGUUUCAUUAAGCAAGAGGCAUUGCUAGACAUAAUGGAGAGAGAGCCUUAGAGUGGAGAAGGCCUGGGUUCAAGACCUGCUUCUGGAAUACACUGGCUGCGAGAUGCAGGCCCAAGAAAGGCCUGGUCAUCUCCAGGCAAUGCUGGGAACUAGGCUCAUCAGGGGACAAGGAGGAAAGAGCUGAAAAAAACCAUCAAAAGAGAG